GACGAACGCUGGCGGCGUGCUUAACACAUGCAAGUCGAACGGAAAGGCCCUGCUUUUGUGGGGUGCUCGAGUGGCGAACGGGUGAGUAACACGUGAGUAACCUGCCCUUGACUUUGGGAUAACUUCAGGAAACUGGGGCUAAUACCGGAUAGGAGCUCCUGCUGCAUGGUGGGGGUUGGAAAGUUUCGGCGGUUGGGGAUGGACUCGCGGCUUAUCAGCUUGUUGGUGGGGAAGUGGCUUACCAAGGCUUUGACGGGUAGCCGGCCUGAUAGGGUGACCGGCCACAUUGGGACUGAGAUACGGCCCAGACUCCUACGGGAGGCAGCAGUGGGGAAUAUUGCACAAUGGGCGGAAGCCUGAUGCAGCAACGCCGCGUGCGGGAUGACGGCCUUCGGGUUGUAAACCGCUUUCGCCUGUGACGAAGCGUGAGUGACGGUAAUGGGUAAAGAAGCACCGGCUAACUACGUG
rnacentral:rRNA from 1 species